rnacentral:rRNA from 1 species
ACAUCCCGAUGCUAUUUCUAGAGAUAGAAGUUACUUCGGUACAUCGGUGACAGGUGGUGCAUGGUUGUCGUCAGCUCGUGUCGUGAGAUGUUGGGUUAAGUCCCGCAACGAGCGCAACCCCUAUUGUUAGUUGCCAUCAUUCAGUUGGGCACUCUAGCGAGACUGCCGGUAAUAAACCGGAGGAAGGUGGGGAUGACGUCAAAUCAUCAUGCCCCUUAUGACCUGGGCUACACACGUGCUACAAUGGUUGGUACAACGAGUUGCGAGUCGGUGACGGCGAGCUAAUCUCUUAAAGCCAAUCUCAGUUCGGAUUGUAGGCUGCAACUCGCCUACAUGAAGUCGGAGUCGCUAGUAAUCGCAGAUCAGCAACGCUGCGGUGAAUACGUUCCCGGGCCUU